AGAGUUUGAUCAUGGCUCAGGACGAACGCUGGCGGCGUGCUUAACACAUGCAAGUCUACGAGAAAGAGGUAGCAAUAUCUUGAUUAAAGUGGCGCACGGGUGAGUAACACGUAAGUAAUCUACCUUUAGGUCUGGAAUAACUCCGAGAAAUCGGGGCUAAUACCGGAUGAUGCAGCGGAUCCACAUGGAUAUGUUGUUAAAGCCUAUACGGCGCCUAUAGAUGAGCUUGCGUCUGAUUAGUUUGUUGGUGAGGUAACGGCUCACCAAGACUGCGAUCAGUAGCUGGUCUGAGAGGAUGAUCAGCCACACUGGAACUGAGACACGGUCCAGACUCCUACGGGAGGCAGCAGUGAGGAAUAUUGGGCAAUGGACGGAAGUCUGACCCAGCAACGCCGCGUGGAGGAUGAAUGCCGUAAGGUUGUAAACUCCUGUUAGAGGGGAAGAAUAGUCCCGAUCGACUCGGGAUAUGACUGUACCCUCAGAGAAAGCUCCGGCUAACUACGUGCCAGCAGCCGCGGUAAUACGUAGGGAGCAAGCGUUGUCCGGAUUUACUGGGUGUAAAGGGUGCGCAGGCGGGUUGGCAAGUCAGUGGUGAAAUCCUACAGCUUAACUGUAGAACUGCCUUUGAUACUGCCAAUCUUGAGUAUGGAAGAGAGAGACGGAAUUCCAGGUGUAGUGGUGAAAUACGUAGAUAUCUGGAAGAACACCAGUUGCGUAGGCGGUCUCUUGGUCCAAUACUGACGCUCAGGCACGAAAGCGUGGGUAGCAAACAGGAUUAGAUACCCCAGUAGUCC
rnacentral:rRNA from 1 species